GGGAUUAGAUACCCCACUAUGCUUAGCCUUAAACCUAGAUGUUUAAUUUACAAGCAACAUCCGCCAGGGUACUACAAGCGCUAGCUUAAAACCCAAAGGACUUGACGGUGUCUCAGACCCACCUAGAGGAGCCUGUUCUAGAACCGAUAAUCCCCGUUAAACCUCACCACCCCUUGUUUUCUCCGCCUAUAUACCGCCGUCGCAAGCUUACCCUGUGAAGGUCUCAUAGUAAGCAGAAUGGGUAAAUCCCAAAACGUCAGGUCGAGGUGUAGCUUACGAGGUGGGAAGAAAUGGGCUACAUUUUCUAUAUCAGAAUAAUACGAACAGCACUAUGAAAUUAGUGCUCGAAGGUGGAUUUAGUAGUAAAAAACAAAUAGAGAGUCUUUUUGAACCAGGCUCUGAGACGCGCACACACCGCCC
rnacentral:rRNA from 1 species